rnacentral:lncRNA from 1 species
CCAUGAUGUAUUUAACUCACUUAUUUUAUGACAAAUAACUCUAGAGCCUUGUCUAGUGAUUCGACCAUUGUCUCCUUGUAUGCAAGCCAAUGUUGCUCGGAGUUUACACACAUGGUCUUCCAACGAAUGUGCAUUUCAAAUCCCACAUUAUGCCUACCAUCAAACUCAACAACAUCACUUGGGUCCAUCCAAUUCAAAUAUUUUCGAACUUGUUCCAACAACUCGGCAUAGCUAGGACAACACUCAAACACCAUGUCAAGCUCAUCUGAGUCCGGAUCAAUAUUAUCUUUCAAAAAGGCAUACUUGUCCACGUGAUGAACAUAAACACAUGUUAUU